GAUGAACGCUGGCGGCGUGCCUAAUACAUGCAAGUCGAGCGAACAGACGAGGAGCUUGCUCCUCUGACGUUAGCGGCGGACGGGGGAGUAACACGUGGAUAACCUACCUAUAAGACUGGGAUAACUUCGGGAAACCGGAGCUAAUACCGGAUAAUAUAUUGAACCGCAUGGUUCAAUAGUGAAAGACGGUUUUGCUGUCACUUAUAGAUGGAUCCGCGCCGCAUUAGCUAGUUGGUAAGGUAACGGCUUACCAAGGCGACGAUGCGUAGCCGACCUGAGAGGGGGAUCGGCCACCCUGGAACUGAGACACGGUCCAGACUCCUACGGGAGGCAGCAGUAGGGAAUCUUCCGCAAUGGGCGAAAGCCUGACGGAGCAACGCCGCGUGAGUGAUGAAGGUCUUCGGAUCGUAAAACUCUGUUAUUAGGGAAGAACAAAUGUGUAAGUAACUAUGCACGUCUUGACGGUACCUAAUCAGAAAGCCACGGCUAACUACGUG
rnacentral:rRNA from 1 species